rnacentral:rRNA from 1 species
AGUCGAACGAGAUCUUCGGAUCUAGUGGCGCACGGGUGCGUAACGCGUGGGAAUCUACCCAAGGGUACGGAAUAACUCAGGGAAACUUGUGCUAAUACCGUAUAAUGUCUUCGGACCAAAGAUUUAUCGCCCAUGGAUGAGCCCGCAUUUGAUUAGCUAGUUGGUGAGGUAAAAGCUCACCAAGGCGAUAAUCAAUAGCUGAUUUGAGAGGAUGAUCAGCCACACUGGGACUGAGAUACGGCCCAGACUCC